rnacentral:miRNA from 1 species
UGGGAGCGGAAUGUGCAGCCUCA